rnacentral:rRNA from 1 species
AGAGUUUGAUCAUGGCUCAGAACGAACGCUGGUGGCGUGCUUAACACAUGCAAGUCGAACGAGAAAGUUUCCUUCGGGAAAUUAGUAAAGUGGCGCAAGGGUGAGUAUCACGUGAAUAAUCUGCCCUCGAGAUCGGGAUAACAUGGUGAAAACUAUGCUAAUACCGGAUAAGACCACAUUUCAUAAGAAAUGCGGUAAAAGGAGUCUCAAUCUUCACUCGAGGAUGAGUUCGCGCAACAUUAGCUUGUUGGUGAGAUAAAAGCUCACCAAGGCUACGAUGUUUAGCCGGCCUGAGAGGGUGAUCGGCCACACUGGAACUGAGACACGGUCCAGACUCCUACGGGAGGCAGCAGUGGGGAAUAUUGCGCAAUGGGCGAAAGCCUGACGCAGCAACGCCGUGUGAGCGAUGAAGGCUUUAGGGUCGUAAAGCUCUGUCAAAUGGGAAGAAUUUUGACGGUACCAUUAGAGGAAGCCCCGGCUAACUCCGUGCCAGCAGCCGCGGUAAUACGGAGGGGGCAAGCGUUGUUCGGAAUUAUUGGGCGUAAAGCGUGUGUAGGCGGUUAAACAAGUCAGGCGUGCAAGCCCGUGGCUCAACCACGGAAUUGCGUUUGAAACUGUUUAACUUGAGUACAGGAGAGGAAAG